CAUUAGACUUCGGUUGGUUCUAGUUUUGUAUAAUUUAAUACAUAGAUUUUGAUCAGAAUUGGCUUUGUAUGUUUUGUUUCUUCGAGCGAUAACUUCAUAAGUCAUUAUAUUUUAUUUUGAUUCAUCGUAUCAGAAGCAAGACUGCUUUCCCUAAAGUUUUAUACAGUGAAAUCCUUGAUGUUUUACCUAGUUUACUGAGUCCUUACAUUUCAUGCAAAAUAGAGAUUGCUUC
rnacentral:lncRNA from 1 species